UCCCCCCCCCCCCUUCCUCUUUCCACUCUUUCCAUGGUGGUUGGCAGAUCAAUCGUGAUCGUCAUCUUCAUCGACACCAACAUCGUUCCCUGAUCAAACUUUUGUUAGUCUUUCGUAGAAAAGUAUAACUGUUUAUAAUAGAAAAAUUAGUGUCAUCUUGAUGUUUGCCACUUGAAGAUUAAACAAAUGAGCUGGCUUCAAAGGGAAUUCCACUUCCAGAGGUUGGUGACUGAUCCUAGGAUUCCAAUUUACAGGUUUCUGAAGCACUAAUUUAAUGGAGAUUGAGAAAGAUAAAGAAAAGAAAAGGGAAAAAAAUUACCUUUCUUAAUUCUCAGUAAACAAAGAAGAGAAAACCAAACCCAGGCUUAGAGAAAAGUCAAUAAGGGCAAGUUCUUUCCUUUCCUCCUUCAGCCUGUUUAUUUUCUUUCUCCUUCUGCCCCUCCAAAGACUUUCAUUUCAUUCUUCUUCCUUUUCAAGGUAUUGUCUUUAUUCUUCUCUGUUGAAAACAGAGGAAAUAGUCUGUUCUUUUCUUCUUGGGAAUUUGAGUGUUUUGGUGGAUCGAUGUUGAGUGAUAGCUGAAGAAGGUGAGAAUCUGGAGAGGGGUUGAAUUUUAUGGAUAAUCAAUGUUGCUUCAAAUCUGUAUAUUCCCAGGUCAUCUUAUAUUCAGUUCAGUCCUUCCAAUUUAGAUUGUUUCAUCAUAUGUUUAUGUAUGAUUGGAUAUCCUUGGUUGGUGAUUUUGAUUAGAUUUUUGUAAGGACAUGAUCUAGUUUAGUGGCAUCUUUGAUUUCAUGCCAGAUUCUGUGUGCAUGAGCAAUUGCUAGCUUAGUACCAAACCUUUUCUGGGUUGUUAUUACCUGCAUUACUAGUCGAUUGUAUUCCUUUUAUUGUUUUGGUCGGAAGCAUCGGAGAACAUCACUAGCCUUGUGCUUGUGUUGUGCAAAUACUGUUUCAUUUACUAACACAGCAAUGGCUUACCGUGAGAGAGUGCUCUUCUCGGUUCCCGUGGUUAAUGGCUUUUUGGGAAUCAGUUAAAAGUUUUAUUUACAU